rnacentral:rRNA from 1 species
CCUACGGGAGGCAGCAGUGAGGAAUAUUGGUCAAUGGGCGCGAGCCUGAACCAGCCAAGUAGCGUGAAGGAUGAAUGCCCUACGGGUUGUAAACUUCUUUUAUAAAGGAAUAAAGUGAGGCACGUGUGCCUUUUUGUGUGUACUUUAUGAAUAAGGAUCGGCUAACUCCGUGCCAGCAGCCGCGGUAAUGCGGAGGAUCCGAGCGUUAUCCGGAUUUAUUGGGUUUAAAGGGAGCGUAGAUGGGUUGUUAAGUCAGUUGUGAAAGUCUGCGGCUCAACCGUAAAAUUGCAAUUGAGACUGGCAGCCUUGAGUACAGUUGAGGUAGGCGGAAUUCGUGGUGUAGCUGUGAAAUGCUUAGAUAUCGCGAAGAACUCCGAUUGCGAAGGCAGCAUACUAAACUGCCACUGACAUUGAUGCUCGAAAGUGUGGGUAUCAAACAGGAUUAGAUACCCGAGUAGUC